UACGAAGGGUGCUAGCGUUGUUCGGAAUUACUGGGCGUAAAGCGUACGUAGGCGGCUUAGUAAGUCGAUUGUGAAAGCCCAAGGCUUAACCUUGUGAAUUGCAAUCGAAACUGCUUUGCUUGAGUUUGGUGGGGGAUGGCGGAAUUCCUAGUGUAGGGGUGAAAUCCGUAGAUAUUCGGAAGAACACCAGUGGCGAAGGCGACUUACUGGACACAUAUUGACGCUGAGGUGCGAAAGCGUGGGGAGCAAACAGG
rnacentral:rRNA from 1 species